UGAGGAAUAUUGGUCAAUGGAGGAAACUCUGAACCAGCCAAGUCGCGUGAAGGAUGACGGUCCUAUGGAUUGUAAACUUCUUUAGUAGGCGAGUAAGGAUAGGUACGUGUACCUAUUAGAAAGUAGCCUAAGAAUAAGGACCGGCUAAUUCCGUGCCAGCAGCCGCGGUAAUACGGAAGGUCCGGGCGUUAUCCGGAUUUAUUGGGUUUAAAGGGAGCGUAGGCUGUCUAUUAAGCGUGUUGUGAAAUUUACCGGCUCAACCGGUGGCUUGCAGCGCGAACUGGUCGACUUGAGUAUGCAGGAAGUAGGCGGAAUUCAUGGUGUAGCGGUGAAAUGCUUAGAUAUCAUGACGAACUCCGAUUGCGCAGGCAGCUUACUGUAGCAUAACUGACGCUGAGGCUCGAAAGUGCGGGUAUCAAACAGG
rnacentral:rRNA from 1 species